rnacentral:rRNA from 1 species
AUUGAACGCUGGCGGAAUGCUUUACACAUGCAAGUCGAACGGCAGCACGGGGCAACCUGGUGGCGAGUGGCGAACGGGUGAGUAAUACAUCGGAACGUGCCCAAUCGUGGGGGAUAACGUAGCGAAAGUUACGCUAAUACCGCAUACGAUCUACGGAUGAAAGCGGGGGAUCGCAAGACCUCGCGCGAAUGGAGCGGCCGAUGUCAGAUUAGGUAGUUGGUGGGGUAAAGGCUCACCAAGCCGACGAUCUGUAGCUGGUCUGAGAGGACGACCAGCCACACUGGGACUGAGACACGGCCCAGACUCCUACGGGAGGCAGCAGUGGGGAAUUUUGGACAAUGGGCGCAAGCCUGAUCCAGCCAUUCCGCGUGCAGGAUGAAGGCCUUC